UACAGAGGCCCCAAGCGUUACCCGGAAUCACUGGGCGUAAAGCGUGUGUAGGCGGCAGUGUUAGUCUUCUGUUAAAACUCCGGGCUCAACCCGGAGAUCGCAGGGGAAACGGCACUGCUCGAGGAUGCGAGAGGUAUAGGGAACUCUAGGUGUAGGGGUGAAAUCCGUUGAUAUCUAGGGGAACACCAAAAGCGAAGGCACUAUACUGGCGCAUUCCUGACGCUGAGACACGAAAGCGUGGGUAGCGAAUGGG
rnacentral:misc_RNA from 1 species